rnacentral:tRNA from 1 species
GCGCAUGUGGCGAAAUUGGUAGACGCGCCAGCUUGAGGGGCUGGUGUUCGAUUAUGAAUGUGCUGGUUCGAGUCCAGUCAUGCGCA